ACGCUGGCGGCAGGCUUAACACAUGCAAGUCGAACGGUAACAGGGAUUAGCUUGCUAAUUUGCUGACGAGUGGCGGACGGGUGAGUAAUGCUUGGGAAUCUGGCUUAUGGAGGGGGAUAACUACGGGAAACUGUAGCUAAUACCGCGUAAUAUCGGAAGAUUAAAGGGUGGGACUUUCGAGCCACCUGCCAUAAGAUGAGCCCAAGUGGGAUUAGGUAGUUGGUUAGGUAAAGGCUGACCAAGCCGACGAUCUCUAGCUGGUCUGAGAGGAUGACCAGCCACACUGGAACUGAGACACGGUCCAGACUCCUACGGGAGGCAGCAGUGGGGAAUAUUGCACAAUGGGGGGAACCCUGAUGCAGCCAUGCCGCGUGAAUGAAGAAGGCCUUCGGGUUGUAAAGUUCUUUCGGUGACGAGGAAGGUUGAUAGGUUAAUAGCCUAUCAAAUUGACGUUAGUCACAGAAGAAGCACCGGCUAACUCCGUGCCAGCAGCCGCGGUAAUACGGGGGGUGCGAGCGUUAAUCGGAAUAACUGGGCGUAAAGGGCACGCAGGCGGUGACUUAAGUGAGAUGUGAAAGCCCCGAGCUUAACUUGGGAAUUGCAUUUCAUACUGGGUCGCUAGAGUACUUUAGGGAGGGGUAGAAUUCCACGUGUAGCGGUGAAAUGCGUAGAGAUGUGGAGGAAUACCGAAGGCGAAGGCAGCCCCUUGGGAAUGUACUGACGCUCAUGUGCGAAAGCGUGGGGAGCAAACAGGAUUAGAUACCCUGGUAGUCCACGCUGUAAACGAUGUCGAUUUGGGGAUUGGGCUUUGAGCUUGGUGCCCGUAGCUAACGUGAUAAAUCGACCGCCUGGGGAGUACGGCCGCAAGGUUAAAACUCAAAUGAAUUGACGGGGGCCCGCACAAGCGGU
rnacentral:rRNA from 1 species